rnacentral:rRNA from 1 species
AUUGAACGCUGGCGGCAGGCUUAACACAUGCAAGUCGAGCGCGCGGCGCGCGGGUGAGUACUGUCUGGGAAACUGCCUGUUAGAGGGGGAUAAAAACUGGAAAAGGUAUCUAAAACCGCGUACCAUAAGAUGUGACCACAUGGGGUUAGCUAGUAGGUGGGGUAAAGGCUCACCUAGGCGACGAUCCCUAGCUGGUCUGAGAGGAUGAUCAGCCACACUGGAACUGAGACACGGUCCAGACUCCUACGGGAGGCAGCAGUGGGGAAUAUUGCACAAUGGGCGCAAGCCUGACGCAGCCAUGCCGCGUGUGUGAAGAAGGCCUUCGGGUUGUAAAGCACUUUCGGUGGGGAGGCGUUAACCGCAGAAGAAGCACCGGCUAACUCCGUGCCAGCAGCCGCGGUAAUAC